GAUGAUUUGGCAGAUUAGUGUGUUAAAUUUAGAGUUUAAUUAAGUACAUAAUAAAGUACAUUCAUUA
rnacentral:tRNA from 1 species